rnacentral:pre_miRNA from 1 species
UCGUAUUUGGCAAUGGCACUGGAAGAAUUCACGGGCUUAAUUUAAAAGUUCCCGUGUUCUCUUAGUACCAUCACUUAUACGU